rnacentral:rRNA from 1 species
UACCAGCACCCCGAGUGGUCGGGACGAUUAUUGGGCCUAAAGCAUCCGUAGCCGGUUUUACAAGUCCUCCGUUAAAUCCAGCUGCUUAACAGAUGGGCUGCGGAGGAUACUAUAAGACUAGGAGGCAGGAGAGGCAAGCGGUACUCAGUGGGUAGGGGGUAAAAUCCGUUGAUCCAUUGAAGACCACCAGUGGCGAAGGCGGCUUGCCAGAAUGCGCUCGACGGUGAGGGAUGAAAGCUGGGGGAGCAAACCGG